rnacentral:tRNA from 1 species
UAGGAAAUAGUUAAAUUGGAAUAACUAAGAGUUUUGAUCUCUUAAAUAUGGGUUCAAGUCCCAUUUUCCUAA